UUGGACAAUGGGCGCAAGCCUGAUCCAGCCAUGCCGCGUGCAGGAUGAAGGCCCUCGGGUUGUAAAAUGCUUUUGUACGGAACGAAAAGCCUCUUUCUAAUAAAGAGGGGUGAUGACGGUACCGUAAGAAUAAGCACCGGCUAACUACGUGACAGCAGCCGCGGUAAUACGUAGGGUGCGAGCGUUAAUCGGAAUUACUGGGAGUAAAGGAUGCGUAGGCGGAUACUUAAGUCAGAUGUGAAAAUCCCGGGCUUAACUUGGGAACUGCAUUUGAAACUGGGUAUCUAGAGUGCGGGAGAGGAAAGUGGAAUUCCUAGUGUAGCGGUGAAAUGCGUAGAGAUUAGGAAGAACACCAGCGGCGAAGGCGACUUUCUGGACCGUAACUGACGCUGAGGCAUGAAAGCGUGGGGAGCAAACA
rnacentral:rRNA from 1 species